rnacentral:misc_RNA from 1 species
GGACUACAGGGGUAUCUAAUCCUGUUUGCUCCCCACGCUUUCGCGCCUCAGCGUCAGUGCUGGUCCAGUUGGCCGCCUUCGCCACCGGUGUUCUUGCGAAUAUCUACGAAUUUCACCUCUACACUCGCAGUUCCACCAACCUCUACCAGACUCAAGCGUCCCAGUAUCGAAGGCCAUUCUGUGGUUGAGCCACAGGCUUUCACCCCCGACUUAAAACGCCGCCUACGCGCCCUUUACGCCCAGUGAUUCCGAGCAACGCUAGCCCCCUUCGUAUUACCGCGGCUGCUGGCACGAAGUUAGCCGGGGCUUAUUCCUCCGGUACCGUCAUUAUCGUCCCGGAUAAAAGAGCUUUACAACCCUAAGGCCUUCAUCACUCACGCGGCAUGGCUGGAUCAGGCUU